AGAGUUUGAUCAUGGCUCAGAUUGAACGCUGGCGGCAUGCCUUACACAUGCAAGUCGAACGGUAACAGGUCUUCGGACGCUGACGAGUGGCGAACGGGUGAGUAAUACAUCGGAACGUGCCCAGUCGUGGGGGAUAACUACUCGAAAGAGUAGCUAAUACCGCAUACGAUCUGAGGAUGAAAGCGGGGGACCUUCGGGCCUCGCGCGAUUGGAGCGGCCGAUGGCAGAUUAGGUAGUUGGUGGGAUAAAAGCUUACCAAGCCGACGAUCUGUAGCUGGUCUGAGAGGACGACCAGCCACACUGGGACUGAGACACGGCCCAGACUCCUACGGGAGGCAGCAGUGGGGAAUUUUGGACAAUGGGCGAAAGCCUGAUCCAGCAAUGCCGCGUGCAGGAUGAAGGCCUUCGGGUUGUAAACUGCUUUUGUACGGAACGAAAAAGCUUCUCCUAAUACGAGAGGCCCAUGACGGUACCGUAAGAAUAAGCACCGGCUAACUACG
rnacentral:rRNA from 1 species